GCAGGUCACAGAAGCUGUCACCUUUCUCCUGCUUAGGCAUACUUUGUUCAAGGCCUUGUUUCAUGUCAGGAUGGACCCAUAAGCAAGGAGUUUAUGCAAUGACUGAAGCAUCAGACUGAGUCCUGCUUGCAUAUCU